CACCAACUAGCACACAGCCAGCAUUAGGAGGCAGUAGUAGAGAGAUAACUAUUGUCAACAGUUCCAGUUUGAUGUCUAGUGAGAUAGAUAGAUAGAGAUGUGCCAAGAGAGUAAAUCACGGCAUUUCUGUAUGUCUGACUAUGGAAUAUUCUUCAGAAAUCACUGAGACCAUUUAUUUUACAUUGGAAUUUCAUCUUGAUCUAAGAUCCAUCAACUUUAGUAGGAUUGCUUGGAAAUGGAUGAUAACUGAAAUUUGCUGUCAACUUAGAAACUCCAUCUGUGAUCACUAUUAUCACCUCCUCACCGCCAAACCUCAAACCAAAGCUGUGCCUUCUGAAUCCAUUUGUGCACGGGCUGUACCCAGGGGCAGCGGUGCUGCUUGGAUGAGCCCCAGUGGAAACGCGGGAGGCAGUGGAGAGGUCUCCUGCAAGUGUGCGAGCACACAGCACCAAGAAGGAAUGCACCUUUGCUGGCAGCGUCGGAUGGGCGUUUCUGACAGCACUGCAGGAAGUACAUGCUCAGUUCCACAGGUUUAGAAGCAGCAAUGCCCUUCUUGCCUGGGAUUGGGAUGAUGCAGCUGAGACAGCCUUCCUGGUAGCCAAGUAGGCUAUUCAGCAAGCACAAGCCCUAUGGGUAGUUGACCAGAGGUGCCCAUUUAAGCUAGAUGUGCAUGUGACCACAGAUAGUUUCAGUUAGGGCCUAUGGCAGUGCAUGAGUGCCUGAGUAUGCCAGUAGGCUUUUGGUCCCAAUUAUGCAAGGGAGCUGAGCUCCAGUAUUCCUUGAUACAGAAGCAGUUAGUAAUAAUAGGAUGGGUGUGUUCAUGGAUAACCACCCCCUGGACAGGGAAAGCAGUUAGUAACUGUAUAUACUGCCCUUCAGGCUCAUAAGAGCAUGGCAGGAAUGGCUACAAUCAUCAGGCAGACAACUUUCCCAACAGUGGGGUGGGUACACUCGUGGGUAAUGACCCCAUCGACUGGGACAGCACAGACAUCCACUUUAGCAAAGUGGGGAGCCUACUUACAGCAGUAAAGUACACUGAUUACAAGUCCCUUAGCAGUAGAGUUACAGGAAGUCUUGGGACCUGUAGUCCUAAUGCCAAGUAAGGCCAUGGGGCCUGAGGCACCCCUAAACCCUAAGCCUUCAUCAUUAGGAAGGGCAUUCUCCCAUUCCUAAUAGGGCUUGGUACACAGAUAUGUGUAGGCAGGGAGCUACUGCUGCCUGGAUUGCUGCCACAGUCCAGCCUAGUACUAACACCAUAUGGGUUAAAACCAGGUGUAGGCAAAGUAGCUAAUGAGCUGCACUCAGGGCAAUGUGAACAGUAAUCACCAAUGUUGCAACACCUAUGGUAAUCUGUGCCAACAGCCGAGCAGUUUAUUGAAGCUUAUGUAUGUGAUGGGCUUGUGUGCCCAGAGCCUAUGUAUAAGGCUUAUGUGUCAGGCCUAUGUGCCCAGAAGCCUAUGUGUAUGUAUCAGGCCUGUGUGCCAAACCUGUGUAUAAAACCUGUGUGUCCAGGGCCUAUGUUUCCCUCAGCCUAGGGGGUGGAGUGUAAGGUACAUGGAUGUGCUUUGGUCAAGGAAUAGGCCAAGGUGGAUAUCCAAGCGAGUUUGGUGCGUGAGUGUGCACCUCCACUUGUUAUAUAACUUGUUUGUGUAAGUUCAUACUUGGCUCUGAGCCACUAUUGCUGUAAAAGGUAGAACUGCCCUGUCGACACUGUGCACAAGAGACAUGGCUCUUGGGGCUCGGCUCAGCUCAACAUGGCUUGACAUGGCGGGCGUGCUGGCGUCCACAGAAAGAGAGAGUCAGGGCUGUCCAUAUUUGCAGAUGCUCCCUGGGGAGCCAGGAUACAGCUUGGAUUGCUUGUGCCCAGAGAAAGAGUUAAGCUGUUGACCCUGAGGCCAAGGGAGAGCAGGCCAUACAGCUGCAGGUGUCGGGGCAGCAGGGGCCACAGAGCGGGAGCAGACAGCCGAGACACAGGCGAACAGUGUAGAGAGCUAGCGUGAGAAAGCUGUUGAUGAGAAGUGCUGCUGAAUAAAAUCAUCUUUCACCUGCCUACGGCCCCCCGAGUGUUCUUUCUGCUUGCCCACCCACUCCCUCCAGACCUCAUCAUGACCUUUGGCAUAGUCGUGAACCUGAUACAGGCUCAUUUGGCGGUAAUGAGAUAUGUGAUAACUGUUUUAGGUUUAUAUGACCCUCCUCUCCUUUCCCUCCCCCUAAAUAUGUGUGUGUAUGUAUACAUAUAUAUUAUGUAUAUACUGUAUUCCUUUGUUUCUUUGUCUACUAAAACCAACCAUAAAGGAG
rnacentral:lncRNA from 1 species